AGGGGAUCGCAAGACCUUGCGCUUUUGGAGCGGCCGAUGUCUGAUUAGCUAGUUGGUGAGGUAAUGGCCUACCAAGGCUACGAUCAGUAGCUGGUCUGAGAGGACGACCAGCCACACUGGGACUGAGACACGGCCCAGACUCCUACGGGAGGCAGCAGUGGGGAAUUUUGGACAAUGGGCGAAAGCCUGAUCCAGCCAUGCCGCGUGAGUGAAGAAGGCCUUCGGGUUGUAAAGCUCUUUCAGCCGGAAAGAAAAGGUUCCGACUAAUACUCGGAUGUAAUGACGGUACCGGAAGAAGAAGCACCGGCUAACUACGUGCCAGCAGCCGCGGUAAUACGUAGGGUGCAAGCGUUAAUCGGAAUUACUGGGCGUAAAGCGUGCGCAGGCGGCUUUGUAAGUCAGAUGUGA
rnacentral:rRNA from 1 species